CACUCCAUCCAGUCCUCGAUCUGUCCCUUGUAGCAUGCAAUGGCGAAACAAUCUACGACCCACUCCGAAGUGAAGGAGAUAUGAUCCACACAGGUAAAGUCCAGACUUGGCCAGGAAACAGAGGUCUCUGGCAAAAAUAAUGCACGGUAAAUGUUGAGCUCUCCCACUUUCACAGCAUGGUUCACAGCCAUGCCUAUCAUGUUGUAUACAAGUUCCAAAGGCAUGAAGUAGUACCUCACGAUUGGCCCGGCUAUGUAGUACGUCGCCCAGAAGUCGAUGUGCGACUUAUCUGCGUUCUCGGGCGCCGAGAAGUAAACCUGCUGCAACUCCUCGACAGACCAAGGAGGCAUGUAGAGCGCAAAGAAGCCUCUCGCAUUGAUGAGUUUGAGCGCGUCCACCCAAUUCCUCUCCUCCGGUGAUGCAAAGAGCACAGUAUGUCUAGCGAAGUUCCCAACAAACUCCUGAUCCGUGAGAAGCCAAGCCCCCGGGAUUUCGUAAUCCUCUUUAGAACUGGGCGCGUAACUCCCAUCCGGUUUGAAGAUGUAAACCCUCUUCUUCUUUUUUUCGACGAGCUGAACUAUCACGGCCGGUAUCCCUUCUUCACUGAGGAGCCGUUUCAGGACGUACCACAGAAAGCACGACUUGCCGAUUCCAGGGUUUCCUGAUAUGUGGAUGUAGCUCUUGCCCAGGCUUGCGAGCUCUCUCAUGUCGGCAUAGAGAUCCUCAUAGCAUUCCCGUAUCCACACUUUCCGCCUCCUCCUGGCGAUGGGAGGGAGAUCUAUCCACCUACCAUCAGGGUCUGUCGCUGCACGCCCAUCAUCCCCAACUGGCGCUAUCAAUUCCAUCCGCACCGCUCUCCCGCUAGGGCCGUAAAGAGAGAAUAUACCUGAUAUACUCCAGCUCAACUUAGAAAAUAUAUUUGUUUUAAAAAUAAUUAUAUCAAAUCAAACUUUUGUAAACCUUGUUGAGAGAUUCAGCGUGAUGCCAUCAAAUUCAACUUUAUCCAGACCUUUUUGGUUGGCAUGACAUGGUUCCUUUUCUUUUUUAUCUUGUAUGUUUUGUAGAGCCAGAUUUUGCUCUUUGGAAUCCUGCUUAUAUGUGUAUUUGAAAGCCUCCCAAUCUUCCGUGACAGAUUCUGCAAGUUCCAGUAACGCAUCCCACGUAAAGCCUUGAUUGUUUUAUAUGAAAGAGAAAUAGCAAAUGCUCAAACCAAUACUUGUGUACAAAAAGACGCCUGUGACACCACCUGAGCUUGCAAGGAUGUCCUGAUGCCCUUCUUUGCAAAACUCUGGUCACAAAAACCAUCAAUUGCUUCGGUUAUAUCACUUACCAUCUUGACUCUUCCUUUGGCCUUAAAGAGGAAUUAGGCAGUAUGGUGAUCAAUGUUGCCAAAUCCUUGCAAGACCUCUCAGUCAGAGAAAUAACAGCCCAAGAGAAACAAUGGAAGCUAUAAAUUGUUCUACCUGGAUCACAAAAGAAGUUUGGUUCAAGAGAGAUUUGCCAUGGUUAGCAAGUAAUGCUUCAGUCACGUAUACAACUCCUCUUUCAGUGCCAGCCUCACGUCCUACAGAGCCACUGAGGUCCUGAGAAGCAAAACCAAUAUAAGAGAAAAAAUCACAUAAUCAUAAAAAUACAAGCUUACAAGUUGCUAUCCAGUGACCAUUGUUGGAGAGUACCCUUGAAACUUAGAGUAUUCAUCUAGAAUCCAAGCCAUGGUUUGUGAAGAAAUAAAUAUAUGAAAAUCCAUAAAAAAGGAAGAAAAAAAAUGUGAAUAAAACCUGAGCACAUGUCAGGUGCUGGAAUAUACAAACAUCAACAAUGUUUUGCGUAAAAACUCAAGUGAGCCACUCUAACUCAUAUGGGGAUUAUAGUCAUAAGGCCCUCUAGUUGUCACGCUAGACUUUAAAACCCACAAACAAUUGCAAUGUGCCAUCAUCCUUGGGAAUGGUAUAUUCAACCUGCAAAUUUGAUUAAGAUCCAAAAGACUAAGAAAAAGAAAAAAGAAAAAUACCUUGAAGAAAUUUGCCUUGAUUUCUAGGAGGCUCCUCCCCAAUUUUGAUUCCAAGUAUCUUUACAGUUUGCCUAAUGUAUCAAUUUGUAGCCCCAAAGAGAUUCUCUAAAAUAUUUUACUAUAAAAAUAUUUUAAUGGUAUGAGAGAUAUUUUUAUAUUGCCCCUUUUCCCUUGGAGGAUAAAUCACAAAGUUUAGUUAAGUAUGUUGCCUCCUAUUUGGCAACUCUACUAAAGAAUAUUACUUCAUUCACUAUAGUUUCUUUUCUUGGGUACAUAUCCUUGCUUUUUGAAAAAAUAAUGAAAAGAUGUUAAAAUAAAAGCUAAAAUAAUAGGAACCUUGAUAAAUGGCUAUAUUGAAUAGGAUGAAAAAAAACACCACUCUAUAUAUAUAAAAAAUGCUUGGGCUAAACCUUGAUCAAUGGCUAUAUUGAACAAAAUGAAAAAAAACCUCCCCUAUAUAUAAAAGAAAUGUUAGGUAGAUUUAUAACAAAUGCCUAGAGACUAUUUAUCUCAACACUCCCUUUAGAAGAUCCUAUGAGCACAGUUUCCCAUGGAUAAUUCAGCCCUUCAUGCCCUGCCAAAAAAUGCACCAAAUCACUAAAAAUUGACCAUGAUAUAAAAGCUUGGCUCAGGCAUCCCAAGGGACAACUGUCACAAGUUCUUCCUCCAAUCAAUGACAAUUUUGUGCCUCACACACAUGUUUUCAUUUUAAGUUAUUAUCUUAAACGAGUUAUUAUCCUUAUAUAGUGUAAGGGUAUAUUGAUGGAUAGUUGAGAUAGGGACAUUGUGGAAAAAAUAACAUAAUACAAGUAUGUAUUAUGUUCAUGCUUUCUUCCUCUAUAUUGAUUUUUCUAGCACAUUAUUAAAGCUUAUUAUUUAACAUAUGAAGCCCUGAAAUUUUUGUGUGGAUUUUAAGGGAAAGAAGAGUGGGAUAUGAUUGAUUGCUUUAUAACAAAAGCUGGAACACCAAAAGACUGGUGUAUUCUAAGAAAUCAACUACCUAUUUAUUUAUAUUGUUCUUGCAUCUCUUUUUUUUUGGGUUUAAUUUCAUUACAUUAUAAAUUUUGGGAACAGUGGAUCAUGUAAUAGUAGAUAUCGAGGUGAUACUUUCAAAAGUGAUACCUUUUGUGUACAAUAAAAAAAGUGUAAUUGCACUUUGGUAAUAAUAUGGAUCAUAAAUUAGUAAAAAAAAAAGAUGAUAUAGUUGCACAUGUUACAUAAAGUGUCUAUUCAUGUGAGAUGUGCUGUGCAAUUAAAACAUGAUUGUAUGCAUAAUAAUUUUGUGUGUAAUUAAAAACAAGAAAUAAGAAUAAUCUGAAUAAAUAAAAACUAUUUAUUUUAAUAUCACUCGUGCCUAAAAGAAAGUCCAAGAUGCUUAGGGUAAGAAAGAAAAGGAAAUUUUGUUGAAAUAAAAGUUUUAUUUGAUAUAAAUGUUUUUGAAAAAAAAUAUAUUUUCUAAGUUGGAGCUGAAGUAUAUAUAUAUAUAUCUAUAUAGAGAGAAUCACAUAAGUAUAUUCUCUCUUCAGGGCCCUAGCUAGAGCAUGGUGUGCGGAUGGUAUUUACGCAAGGUCUACUACUUCUUGUGUGGUUCCUUGUUUCCUGGAUGCAUCUCGGUGUUCAGACCUUCCACUACAACAACAUGAACAAGACAUUGUUGAUACUUAGGAAAUAUAAGUCGCCAAUCCAGAAAAUACCAAUAACACCGAUAAAUAUGAUUAACUUUAUCAGACUACCAACAAUAGACAUCACGACCAUAACCACAUCCUCGCCCUUGUCUUUGAACUUAAGCAACAGUAACAUCAACCUCCAUUGGAACAGAACCAUUUUUCAUAGGAAAUGGACUCUUGCUUCGUGUAGAGCUAAAUAUGUCAAAGUGAAUCAAGCUAUAAAUGUUGUGGCUAACAUUUUGUCAAGAUUUUGUAGGAUUUGUACAUGCACUUGCUCUAGCCAUCCUUGACAAUGCCCUUCACUUGACAUAAUGUUAUGAAACAUUGCCUCUUCCACUUCUCACUACACAUCCUUUAGUUCCACUUCCUCAAAUGCCAAAUUGCAUUACCGACUCAUAUGGCCCUUGACGAAUAUGAUGUAAUUUUUAGAAGACAUCAUCACAAUUGUUAGCAUAUUUAAAUGCACGUUUAAAUACGUCCAGGAAAAUAUUCCAACCCUCACAAAUAACUACGCUCAUACCAUUAUACCACUGUAACACCAUCUCUUGGAGAUACGUGGGAAACUUAUGCAAACAUUGAGCAUUAUCCCAAAAAUGAUAUGUGCCAAUUAUCGUGAAGUGAUCAAACUAAUAAUACACAUCAUUCCCAAAAUUCCCACUGAAUAACUCUGGCUGGUAGGGUUUAGGGUUUAGGGCCAAUAUCAAGGGCCAUAUAAAUCAAGGAAGUAGAGUUGAAGGAUGUGUAGUGAUAAGUGGAAGAGGCAAUGUUUUAUAACGUUAUGUCAAACGAAGGGCAUUGUUAAAGAUGGCUAGAGCAAGUGCAUGCACAAAUCCUAGCAGCAGGAGGAGCUGUACCACGUGCUGUGAAUAUUGCCAUCAAUUAAGUUUGAUUGUUUAGUUGCAACUAUAUACCAUCAAUUAAUUUCACCAACUACUGCUCCAAUCAAAAGAGAAGGAGGUUGUUACUCUACCACGUAGAUGAAUGAAAAUAAAUAAAUAAAAGAAAAAAAGUUGAGAAAAGCUAAAAGAAAAGGGAAAUCUAAACAAUGGAUCUACCCAACAUUCUAAUUAAAAUUGCCUUUCAUCUCCAUCAGUGCGAAUGCGUGGAAUAAGGAAAGAGAAUAUAAAAAAUCUGUAUAUCAAUUAGCCAAGAAACCUUAGUUUAUGUAUUAAUCAAAAUUGAAACUAACCCGACGGCUAUUAAAAUCCCAAAUAUUAAUAUAUAACAUCAUAAUUGUACACUUGGACCUCACAAAGAGUGCUAUGCCACAACUCUGACAAUUGUAUAUAUAUGGCAAUGGUACAUUAUUUUCUCUUCCUUUCUUUUGUUUUGGUUUGCAGUCUAAACUAGGAGAUGACUUGAUACAAACUCCAUGUCCUGAGACCUUAGCCCUUGACUGCACUAAACGUCUCGUGAUGACAAACAUAGCAAAGUGAUGAGAUUAUUUUAUUUGUUUACAGCCUCUUUUCUAAUUUCUCAGAGCGCUCAAAUGAUGCACCUAAACGAAAGUUGAGAAGUUGGAAAACACUUAAGCGAGAGUGUCUCUAGAGAGUGUGCCGCAGCUCUCUACCUCAAGUUGGCCAUCGUGCUUGCUUCUUCCAGAGGAGGAGGAGCUGGAGCGAGCUCGUCCAGUUCUUCCAGCUCACAAUCGCCACCUCUGUGGUAAAUCAUCGGCAAUCUCCCACGAAGGCAUGCGGACUAUCCACGCUCUUGGCUGAAUGUGCAUGUUCCUCCAGAGUCCAGCACACAAUCUUGAUGAUUGUGGAGGUAGACUGCACAGCCUGCAAGUCGAUGGUCACGGAGGGAUCUUAAUGAUAAAUGGCUUCAAUAUCUCGGAUUUUGCGGUUCCAGAUCAAGGACGUGAUAAAGGCUGCUUCCUUUCCCUACAGUCCCUGCGAUGACCGGCUCGUCUCACCCACUUUCGGCUCCUUCGAUAUGGAGCGCCACUACUCCCACGAAUCUGCUCGUCCCGGGCCCAGCUUGCCCACAAAUCGAUUUCCACGUGGCAUGUCCAGCUGUACUGAACCAUUUGAAUUUAGACGAAGUCAAGUACAUUCCAAACACACUUGUCAGCUUUAUACAUAACUAGUCUUCUUAUCCCGCUACCCCUCAUCCGAUGGGAACACGAAUUUAAUUAACGUCGAGGUUCUCAGCUUCGAUCUGAUGAGAACAUCUGCUAUGUCACCUGACCAUGAAAACUGGUAGACAACACCAGGAACAGUCAAGACUCCGAGCCUCUGUGUGUCCAUGUUGAGGAUAGCAGGCAGAGAAGACAUCACAUGUGUUCGAAGACGCUGGAAUAAAAAACAAAAAAUACAACAUUGACACAAAUACUAGAUAACUGAUGCCUACCUCGUUCACAAAAAUUGUCAACUCUUUCCCAGCUAGCUUACCAGCCGUGCACUUGAUACUCAAAGCAGUUUCCUCCUUCAAUUCAGUGUGUACUGUGGUCCGAACGGCUUCGAUCGAUACGCCAAACACAGUCACGCCGUCUUCCAUCUCCUUGCAUUGUACACUUCCCUUUCCUGUUGGAUUGUAAUGAGAUGCAGGAAGAGACCAAACAAAAUACCCAUAUAAGAACUUGCACGUACCUCCUCGCAUCAACACUGUUGGGAACUUCGCCUCCCCCGAUUUUCUGCUCAUGUCCCCAAACUUGAGUCCUCCAGUAUCAACUGUACCGUCCAUCCUCGAACGGACAAUGUCGAAGACCUCCUCGAUGGUCGAGCAGCUGAUCGAGCCGUUAACGUGAUCCUGCAUCUUGAGAGCAAUCGUCAUCUGGAAAGGCAGGUAUGUCCUCUUUUUCUUCCGCUCAGGCGUCUCCUCUUUCUUGAUCCACUCUGGACUUCUCGCUCGCUUCUUCGACUGCUGCUGCAGCGGCUGAUCAUCUGGAACAUCUUCCACCACACACAAGGGUUCUGAAUCCAAAGACUUGCCACCCUCCAUCUUCACUAAAACGGCAUACACUUGAUCUUCCUCCUUCGUGCCUUGCAGGCCCGACGGAACGUCAGGAUGCUCCCUUCUGAACGCCAUCAGCAAAGAGCACAAGGCGUCGUAGUCGCUUUUGUUCAUUGCUCUCUGCUUCAGUGCAGUCGAGAUAUGGAAAAGGACAAAUGGGGGAUACACCGAGUCUAUCGGAGGGAAUGACAUGCUGCUAGGCUGUAGAUAGUGGAGGCCAGGUACUUGCAGGUUGAGACUGUUGCCUGAGAAGAACUUCACGUCACGCUUCUCCAAAUGCAGGCCAAUGGCAUCAUCAUUGAUGCUACAGAAGUGACCACCCUGCGAGAGUCGGUGGUGAGCAUAGCGUUCGAACAAGACCCAAGCUGCACUCUGCAGUGAAGGCAGUGCCCGAGUGCACUCCAUCCAGUCCUUGAUCUGUCCCUUGUAGCAUGCAAUGGCGAAACAAUCUACAACCCACUCCGAAGUGAAGGAGAUAUGAUCCACACAGGUAAAGUCCAGACUUGGCCAGGAAACAGAGGUCUCUGGCAAAAAUAAUGCACGGUAAAUGUUGAGCUCUCCCACUUUCACAGCAUGGUUCACAGCCAUGCCUAUCAUGUUGUAUACAAGUUCCAAAGGCAUGAAGUAGUACCUCACGAUUGGCCCGGCUAUGUAGUAAGUCGCCCAGAAGUCGACGUGCGACUUAUCUGCGUUCUCGGGCGCCGAGAAGUAAACCUGCUGCAACUCCUCGACAGACCAAGGAGGCAUGUAAAGCGCAAAGAAGUCUAUCUCAUUGAUGAGUUUGAGCGCGUCCACCCAAUUGCUCUCCUCCGGUGAUGCAAAGAGCACAGUAUGUCUAGCGAAGUUCCCAACAAACUCCUGAUCCGUGAGAAGCCAAGCCCCCGGGAUUUCGUAAUCCUCUUUAGAACCGGGCGCGUAACUCCCAUCCGGUUUGAAGAUGUAAACCCUCUUCUUCUUUUUUUCGACGAGCUGAACUAUCACGGCCGGUAUCCCUUCUUCACUGAGGAGCCGUUUCAGGACGUACCACAGAAAGCACGACUUGCCAAUUCCAGGGUUUCCUGAUAUGUGGAUGUAGCUCUUGCCCAGGCUUGCGAGCUCUCUCAUGUCGGCAUAGAGAUCCUCAUAGCAUUCCCGUAUCCACACUUUCCGCUUCCUCCUGGCGAUGGGAGGGAGAUCUAUCCACCUACCAUCAGGGUCUGUCGCUGCAUGCCCAUCAUCCCCAACUGGCGCUAUCGAUUCCAUCCGCACCUCUCUCCGGCUAGGGCCCUAAAGAGAGAAUAUACCUGAUAUGCUCCAG
rnacentral:lncRNA from 1 species